rnacentral:rRNA from 1 species
GAUGAACGCUGGCGGCGUGCCUAAUACAUGCAAGUCGAGCGAACAGACGAGGAGCUUGCUCCUCUGACGUUAGCGGCGGACGGGUGAGUAACACGUGGAUAACCUACCUAUAAGACUGGGAUAACUUCGGGAAACCGGUGCUAAUACCAGAGAAUAUAUUGAACCGGAUGGUUCAAUAGUGAAAGGCGGUUUUGCUGGCUCUUAUAGCUGAAUCCGGGCCGCAUUAGCUAGUUGGUAAGGUAACGGCUUACCAAGGCAACGAUGCGUAUCCGACCUGAGAGGGUGAUCGGCCACACUGGAACUGAGACACGGUCCAGACUCCUACGGGAGGCAGCAGUAGGGAAUCUUCCGCAAUGGGCGAAAGCCUGACGGAGCAACGCCGCGUGAGUGAUGAAGGUCUUCGGAUCGUAAAACUCUGUUAUUAGGGAAGAACAAAUGUGUAAGUAACUAUGCACGUCUUGACGGUACCUAAUCAGAAAGCCACGGCUAACUACGUG